rnacentral:tRNA from 1 species
GGGCCCAUAGCUCAGUUGGUUAGAGCAGUGGACUCAUAAUCCAUUGGUCGUAGGUUCAAGUCCUACUGGGCCCA